rnacentral:rRNA from 1 species
CUUUAACGGCCGCAGUACNCUGACUGUGCUAAGGUAGCAUAAUAAUUUGUCUUUUAAUUGAAGACUGGAAUGAAAGGCUUAAUGGGAGAUAGCUGUCUUAGAUAAUUAACAAAAAAAUUUCUAAGAAGGUGAAAAUUCCUUCAACUUAUUAAAUAAGACGAGAAGACCCUUAGAAUUAUGAUUAAAAGUCUAAUAGACGUGAAAUUUUUGUUGGGGCAACAGAGUCAGAGUCUUAAACUGAUUUUGAUAUAAGUUAAUUAGUUAAAAAAUAAUUAAAAAGAAUUUAAUUACCUGAGGGAUAACAGCAUUAUUCAAAUAUGAGAAUAUGACCUCGAUGUUGGACUAGGGACUUUUUUGGUUAGAAAUUAAGGAAGGUAGUUCUGUUCGAACUUUUUAAACCCUACGUGAUCUGAGUUCA